CUCCCUCCUAACCUUCCCCAAAGUCCAUAGUAUCAUUCUAUGCCUUUGAAUCCUCCUAGCUUAGCUCCUACUUAUGAAUGAGAAUAUACAAUAUUUGGCUUUCCAUUCCUGAGUUACUUCACUUAGAAUAAUAGUCUCUAA